GGAAUUUUGGGCAAUGGGCGAAAGCCUGACCCAGCAACGCCGCGUGAGGGAUGAAGGCCCUCGGGUCGUAAACCUCUGUCGGGAGGGGAGAACGGUCGCGAUUCGAACAGGAUCGCGGCCUGACGGUACCUCCAAAGGAAGCACCGGCUAACUCCGUGCCAGCAGCCGCGGUAAUACGGAGGGUGCAAGCGUUGUUCGGAAUCAUUGGGCGUAAAGCGCGUGUAGGUGGCUUGGCAAGUCGGUUGUGAAAUCCCGGGGCCCAACCCCGGAACUGCAUUCGAAACUGCCUCGCUAGAGUCCCGGAGAGGAAGGCGGAAUUCCCGGUGUAGAGGUGAAAUUCGUAGAUAUCGGGAGGAACACCAGCGGCGAAGGCGGCCUUCUGGACGGUGACUGACACUGAGACGCGAAAGCGUGGGGAGCAAAC
rnacentral:rRNA from 1 species